GAAAUGCGAUAAGUAAUGUGAAUUGCAGAAUUCCGUGAAUCAUCGAAUCUUUGAACGCACAUUGCGCCCCCUGGCAUUCCGGGGGGCAUGCCUGUCCGAGCGUCAUUUCUGCCCUCAAGCACGGCUUGUGUGUUGGGUGUGGUCCCCCCGGGGACCUGCCCGAAAGGCAGCGGCGACGUCCGUCUGGUCCUCGAGCGUAUGGGGCUCUGUCACUCGCUCGGGAAGGACCUGCGGGGGUUGGUCACCACCACAUUUUACCACGGUUGACCUCGGAUCAGGUAGGAGUUACCCGCUGAACUUAA
rnacentral:misc_RNA from 1 species